AUUUGUAUCCAAUCUGGUCCGAUACUGUUAAUAGGGUAUUUGAUUCAUUUUCUCAAUUUAAUAAAUCUUUCAUCAAUAUACCAUUCUAAUAAUCACAUAUAUUCACACAUUUUCACAAUUUCAUACAUUUUCAUUCAAUUCAACAAAUAUAUUUCAAUUAUUCACAUUAAUUCAUAAUCCAAUACAACUCAAUUCACUUUUCAAUAUCAAAUAUUCAAUUAUCACAAAUCUCAUAUAUUCAUAUCAAUUCCCUCAUAUUUCCAAUCAAUAUAAUUUUUCAAUAUAACAUUCAUUCAAUAUUCAAAUUUUUACAUAGAUCAUAUAUAUAUAUUAUAAUUUCAAUCAAUAUAAAUUCAAUCAAAAUGAUUUCAAUCAAUAUAAAUUUGAUAAAUUCAUGACAUACCAAAAUCAAUCCAUUUCAAUUGUAAAACAUCAUAAUUCUAACACUAACAAUUGUCAUAUGUAUAUAAAUAUAACAAAUAAUGACUGAGUUCGGAUUAUAGAAAUACAAACCGUAUUUUCCGAGCUUUUCCAAGCUUUUCCUCAUCGACUUUGCUAUUUCCUUACUUAGCCGAAACUUCUCGAGACAACGUUAGCUACGGAAAUUAAAACAAUUCAUAUUCAUUAAUUCACUACUAAUUUAUAUCUAAUUAAUUGAAUUUUCUAUUCAAUUUUCUACUUUAAUUUCAAUUUAAUCUUAACUAAUUUUCACUUACGUUUCUAAUUCAAUUCACAUUCUAUUUCUAUUCAAUUUUCAUCCAUACUCUCAUUUAAAUAUUAAAUUUCCAGCAUAUUUUCCUAAUUUCAAAAUUUCAUCAAUUUAGUCCCUACAACAUAGAACUUAUAACUUACUUUACAAUUUGAUCCUAUUAUCAAUUCUAGCUUGAAAUUCACUCAAUUAAACCCUUAAUUCACAAUUUUAUUCAACAUGAACUAUACUUGAAAAUCUAUAAACUCUCAAAAUAUCAACUUAAUUUUAAUAAAACCUUGUUUUAAAGCUUCUAAAACAUCAAACUUAAGAGGAAAUGACUUAAUUGACUUACCAAAUUAAACUUCAAGCUUCAAACCUUAAAUUUUCCCUUUUUUUCUUUCUUUUCUUUCUUUCCUUCCUUCCCUCUCUGUUUCGUUUCUACUAUUCUGUUUCUUCCCUUCUUCUCUUUUUUUUUCUUUUG
rnacentral:lncRNA from 1 species